rnacentral:rRNA from 1 species
CCUACGGGUGGCAGCAGUCGAGAAUCAUUCACAAUGGGGGAAACCCUGAUGGUGCGACGCCGCGUGGGGGAAUGAAGGUCUUCGGAUUGUAAACCCCUGUCAUGUGGGAGCAAAUUAAAAAGAUAGUACCACAAUAGGAAGAGACGGCUAACUCUGUGCCAGCAGCCGCGGUAAUACAGAGGUCUCAAGCGUUGUUCGGAAUCACUGGGCGUAAAGCGUGCGUAGGCUGUUUCGUAAGUCGUGUGUGAAAGGCGCGGGCUCAACCCGCGGACGGCACAUGAUACUGCGAGACUAGAGUAAGGGAGGGGGAACCGGAAUUCUCGGUGUAGCAGUGAAAUGCGUAGAUAUCGAGAGGAACACUCGGGGCGAAGGCGGGUUCCUGGACAUUAACUGACGCUGAGGCACGAAGGCCAGGGGAGCGAAAGGGAUUAGAUACCCCUGUAGUC